CCAACUAACCAACCAACCUCAAGGAGUGCUCGCUCAAGGGGAAAGCACUGCAGAGGAGUCCAUGGCGGCGGCGACAUCGUCUCCGGCAGCCGUCCUCGCCUUCCUCGCGCGGCCCCUCUCGCUGCUGCGCCACGUCGCACACGGCUGCACGCCUGCGCCGGCUACCUCGGCGGCCUCGCCUCACGCCUGAAAGUGAAACCUGCCGCCGAUGCUACUGCUUGUCAGCCUCAGCAAGAAGAGGGAACCGUCGAGGCUGCAGCUGUUGUGACUGAAGAAGAGGUGGUGGUGGUUCAAGUGCGGUCGAGAGAGGGCUCAAGGAAGGCAGGGGUGGCGGUGGCGGUGUGCACCAUAAAUAGUCUCUCCCCGUAUGCUUCUAUUUAGUGGUGCAAAUUGGUGAUCCAUAAAUGCACCUCUAACUCUUUUAGUUCAAAAUUUUGUACUAAUUUUCUAAAAUAAAAUAUAAUUUUGAAGAAAAAGUGCAAAAUUUUGAACUAGAGAGGGUUAGAUAUGCAACUAAGGAUCACUAAUUGGCACUCCUACUUCUACUGUAUAUGACCCUCCUGCUGCAUCAAUCUUCAUAGACGACAUAUACUCAAUGCAAAUCAGGAGCAGAGUUGGU